AUGGACUCAGACAAGGUUUCAUCUCCCAGUCUGGCUUGGCUUUGGGGCUGCAUUCAAGCACGUUAUUGAGAAGGAUAUAAGAAAUCUGCAAAUGCUCAAGGAUAUGUACAAUGGAUGGCCUUUCUUUAGAGUGACACUUGACUUGCUCGAAAUGGUCUUCGCUAAGGGAGACCCUGGUAUUGCUGCAUUGUAUGAUAAACUUUUAGUAUCCGAAGAUCUGUGGCCGCUUGGAGAGCGAUUGAGAUCCAAAUACGAAGAAACAAAGGGCUUUCUCCUUCAGGUUGCUGGGCACAAGGAUCUAUUGGAAGGAGAUCCAUACUUGAGGCAAAGGCUCAAACUUCGUGAUUCUUACAUCACGACCCUUAACGUAAGCCAAGCAUACACAUUGAAACGAAUUCGUGACCCCAACUACAAUGUGAAGGUCAGACCUCACCUAGACAAGGAGAUCAUGGAAUCAAGCAAACCAGCUGCUGAAUUAGUGAAGCUGAAUCCUACGAGCGAGUAUGCGCCUGGCUUGGAAGACACCCUCAUCUUGACCAUGAAA
rnacentral:misc_RNA from 1 species